rnacentral:rRNA from 1 species
AUUGAACGCUGGCGGAAUGCUUUACACAUGCAAGUCGAACGGCAGCACGGGUGCUUGCACCUGGUGGCGAGUGGCGAACGGGUGAGUAAUGCACCGGAACGUAUCCAAUAAUGGGGGAUAACGCACCGAAAGGUGUGCUAAUACCGCAUACGCCCUGAGGGGGAAAGCGGGGGAUCGUAAGACCUCGCGUUAAUGGAGCGGCCGAUGCCGGAUUAGCUAGUUGGUGAGGUAAAGGCUCACCAAGGCGACGAUCCGUAGCUGGUCUGAGAGGACGACCAGCCACACUGGAACUGAGACACGGUCCAGACUCCUACGGGAGGCAGCAGUGGGGAAUUUUGGACAAUGGGCGCAAGCCUGAUCCAGCCAUUCCGCGUGAGUGAAGAAGGCCUGG